AAUCACUUGUCUUUUAAAUGAAGACCUGUAUGAAUGGCAUAACGAGGGCUUAACUGUCUCCUUUUUCAAGUCAAUGAAAUUGAUCUCCCCGUGCAGAAGCGGGGAUAACCCCAUAAGACGAGAAGACCCUAUGGAGCUUUAGACGCAAGGCAGACCUUGUUAAUCACCUCUAAACAAAGAGCCAAACCAGAAGGACCCUGCCCUAUUGUCUUUGGUUGGGGCGACCGCGGGGAAACAAACAACCCCCACGUGGACUAGGAGGACUUCUCCCACAACCAAGAGCCACAGCUCUAAGUAACAGAACUUCUGACCCUCAGAUCCGGCAUAGGCCGAUCAACGGACCGAGUUACCCUAGGGAUAACAGCGCAAUCCCCUUUUAGAGCCCAUAUCGACAAGGGGGUUUACGACCUCGAUGUUGGAUCAGGACAUCCUAAUGGUGC
rnacentral:rRNA from 1 species